rnacentral:tRNA from 1 species
AAGAAAGAAGUUCCUUUGUAGCAAGAUUUCUAACCUUCGCUGCGGGCAGCUGGCAACUGUCCCUUUCUUA